UACAGAGGGGGCAAGCGUUGUUCGGAAUUACUGGGCGUAAAGGGCGCGUAGGCGGCCUGUUAAGUCGAACGUGAAAUCCCCGGGCUCAACCCGGGAACUGCGUCCGAUACUGGCAGGCUUGAAUUCGGGAGAGGGAUGUGGAAUUCCAGGUGUAGCGGUGAAAUGCGUAGAUAUCUGGAGGAACAUCAGUGGCGGAAGGCGACACCCUGGACUCAUGACUGACACUGA
rnacentral:rRNA from 1 species